GGGGGUAUAGUUUAGUGGUAAAACAUCGGUCUCCAAAACCGAUGACCAGGGUUCGAUUCCUUGUACCCCCGCAA
rnacentral:tRNA from 1 species